rnacentral:rRNA from 1 species
UAGGGAAUAUUCCACAAUGAGCGAAAGCUUGAUGGAGCGACACAGCGUGCACGAUGAAGGUCUUCGGAUUGUAAAGUGCUGUUAUAAGGGAAGAACAUUUGCAAUAGGAAAUGAUUGCAGACUGACGGUACCUUGUCAGAAAGCGAUGGCUAACUAUGUGCCAGCAGCCGCGGUAAUACGUAUGUCACGAGCGUUAUCCGGAUUUAUUGGGCGUAAAGCGCGUCUAGGUGGUUAUAUAAGUCUGAUGUGAAAAUGCAGGGCUCAACUCUGUAUUGCGUUGGAAACUGUAUAACUAGAGUACUGGAGAGGUAAGCGGAACUACAAGUGUAGAGGUGAAAUUCGUAGAUAUUUGUAGGAAUGCCGAUGGGGAAGCCAGCUUACUGGACAGAUACUGACGCUGAAGCGCGAAAGCGUGGGUAGCAAACAGG